CGCCGCGCCACCGGCCCAGUGCGCCCCGGCCCAUCACAACGACUGCAUCUUUCCUCUAAUACUAAAACUUUACCGUUUGAAAGUACUUAAGAAGUGUUACUUGUGAAGUGUUUGCGACGGACUUGCAGCUAGGAACGAGGAUUCGACAAAUAGUUUCGAGAUGCCGUGGUGGUGUGAGAAUGUGCGGAAAAUGCCCCGGACUGCGGUUCUACUCGUCCUAUUAACUUUAAUUGCAAUACAACCUUGCGACAGCGCGCGACGAUCUGCUCAACGGAGAAGAGACUCUCGCCUAGAAGUGUCAGCGCCGGUGCCGAGCGCUGAAAGCCUGCAGGCCCUAGCGCAGGCGGUGGG